CAGAGCCCUGCAGGAGCACCGGGACUGCCCAAGGGAAAUGCAAUUUCUCUAAGAAGCUUCCUGAAUAUAAAUGAAUGGAACUUUUCUGUCCCUGGAACUGAGCAACAUGUAUAUUUGAUUAGCCGAUAUGAAAGAAUUAAAAAUGUGUCCUGUAAGUUCCAGUCCUGUAAUGUCCAUUGAAGUGAAUAGGUUUGCAGGAAUGUUCCUGCCAACAUAACUCAGAAGAUAUCAUUUCUAGUGACAUAAAAUAAGGAACUUAGCUGUAUUUGAAUUCUCUGUAAA